rnacentral:lncRNA from 1 species
AAUAUUUGCUUAUCUGAUUCUGAGGUUUAUUUCCCUUUGCUUACAGGUGAUAAUACAGUUGGUCUGAAUGAUUUGAUGGAUGCUCUCAGUUAUAUCAAGGGUGAGUUGCGAGCUAUGAUGAAAAGAUGUCAUAAAUAGCGUCUUAAUAUUUUGCAGUUGGUGGAGAAAAAUAUAUCCCCUUAUAAAUGUUUAAAUUCUUUCAUAUAUGUUCCAGUUUUGUGGAUGCUACUGAAAUUGGGUAAACAGUAAUUAAUCUGUACUUAUAUAUCAAUACCCAUAAUAUUCUCUGACGUUUUCCCCAAAAGGAUUCUUCAACAUAGUUACAGAUCUCAAGAGCCACAGAACUAUUCAUUUUCCCCAUUAACCCCAAUCCUGGAAAUUUAUCCUGUGGAAAUAACUUAAUUGAAUAAAAGAAAAAAAUCUCUUCCUAAAGACCUUCAGGGAAAUUUGAAACAGCCUAAAUAUCUAACAGUAUGGGAAUACCAAAUAAGUCAUGGAGAGGUGAUUGAUAUCCAGGACUUAGACAACUUUCUAGCAAAUGAGGGGGUUGAGCUCACAGAAGAAGAAAUGAAGAAACUAAUACCUCAUUUGACAUCCAAUGGAAUGGUGCCUCUACAGAAGUUGAUGAAAAUCACAAAUGAUACUAAAGGACUGACCCAAAAACAUAUCUGCUAAAAAAAAAGAAAAGAAAAGCACAAGGACUCAGAAUCCAUGCCCAUUUGCUUGUCAAGCUCUAUGAGUGGAAAUAAUAAACAACAGGCUGGCCCCAAACUUAAGUCCUAACCCCAAAGCACCUUCCAUCUAUCCAGUGCACCAAGCUGUGGAACCCAACUUAUGUCCUGGGACCAUCAGCCCUACAGAUAAGUAUCAUACCAGUCCACCAAUUCUAAACUACCUAGGAUAUGCCCACCAGUAAAUUAAGUGAAAUCAGCCCUUCAUCCCAUUUGGUUCUGAAUAGAUGAGUAUUGAUGUAGCUAAAUUAUAAUACAUACCUACUCCCCAGGAUAGUUUAGUUCCUUAUGUAUUCCACCCUAUUAAUUUUGAUGAUUUUUGUCACCACUGUUCACUCACAGA